UGGAGUGAGUGGCGAACGGUGAGUAACACGUGAGUAACCUGCCCCUUCUUUGGGAUAACGCCCGGAAACGGGUGCUAAUACUGGAUAUUCACUGGCCUUCGCAUGGGGGUUGGUGGAAAGGUUUGUUCUGGUGGGGGAUGGGCUCGCGGCCUAUCAGCUUGUUGGUGGGGUGAUGGCCUACCAAGGCUUUGACGGGUAGCCGGCCUGAGAGGGUGACCGGUCACAUUGGGACUGAGAUACGGCCCAG
rnacentral:rRNA from 1 species